UACGUAGGGCGCGAGCGUUAAUCGGAAUUACUGGGCGUAAAGCGUGCGCAGGCGGUUUUGUAAGGGAGGCGUGAAAUUCCCGGGCUCAACCUGGGAAUGGCGCUUGUGACUGCAAAGCUGGAGUGCGGCAGAGGGGGAUGGAAUUCCGCGUGUAGCAGUGAAAUGCGUAGAUAUGCGGAGGAACACCGAUGGCGAAGGCAAUCCCCUGGGCCUGCACUGACGCUCAUGCACGAAAGCGUGGGGAGCAAACAGG
rnacentral:rRNA from 1 species